ensembl:lncRNA LOC108348751 uncharacterized LOC108348751
GGACUGUCCAUGUUCAUGGGAACUGAGAGCCAACCGAGAGCCAGGAAGAUCGGGCAAACCACUCUUCCACUGACCGCAGCACCAUGCAUGGUCCAUAGAGAGAGACACAUGCUGACGAGGGAGAUUUAAGAAGGCAUGGAAGGCCUGAUUCGAUGAUGAAUGGCAAGCCGCUACCCCGCUGAAAUGUCAAGUAUCUGGAAAGCUUGUCUUUAUGGUUUUUUUUUUCUACCAGUACUGUUUGGUAAAUCAACCGCUGUUUGCCUAUAGUAAGCCAUGCAUGGCUCGGUCUUUGAUGUAAAUGCAGGACUUCGCUGAUUCCAUGUCUAUACUUCUCUGAGGCUAUGGAAGCCAGGUCAAGGAAGGACACAUGAGUUCAAGCCGAUUUUACAACUGUAAGUCAAGAAUAGCAUCAUUUUUCAUCUGUGAAAUCAGACAGUCUCCCAGUAUAAAAAUCUCUGUCACUAUCUCUCACAAAUGCAAAGCAGGAAGAAACAUCUAUAACAGAGCAUGCCCUCUGUGACAGACUCCUGAUCCCCUUCUCUUCUGCCUCGGUGGAGUAGCUAUGUUCUCCUGAUCGCGAAUGAGCAGAAAGCGCUUUAUCAUCUUUUGUCUUGUUUUCAUCCUGCCCUGAAGAAGAAAAGAGACAAGAUAAAGGAAGUGGCUGCAGCUACCCGACGAUGCUCCGUUGACUCCUGUAAAAAUAACUGUUUCCAGGUCAAUACAUCUCUACUCUCCCUCCAUAAAAGAGAAGGAGCUGUAAAUAACACGGUGUGGAGACAUGUGUGGUACCCACCUGACCCAGUGUUGUCUUCGAAAUGCAUUCUGCCGAGUUCCUACUUCGGCUCCUCAUGAAGCCAAGUCGUCAUUAACACCUACAUGGUCUGAAAACACAAACCACGAGAAGCAAGAGCUAUCAAGUGUACAUAGAUCUGGGGGGCAAGGGGAGGACAAGGUAUUGGCUUAGUGUGUGAGGUUCUGAGCCCGUGGGUCUGUUUGUACUAUGUCCUGAGUCUAAGGUCCUGUAACUGUACCUUCCUGUCCUGAGUCAUUUGUAUCUCUUGGCUUUGUAAUAAACGCUGCACACAAAAAAGAAAAAAAG